UACGUAGGGCGCAAGCGUUGUCCGGAAUUACUGGGCGUAAAGCGUGCGUAGGUGGUUUGUUAAGUCUGCUGUGAAAGCCCCGGGCUCAACCUGGGAAUGGCAGUGGAUACUGGCAAGCUAGAGUGCGGUAGAGGGUAGUGGAAUUCCCGGUGUAGCGGUGAAAUGCGUAGAGAUCGGGAGGAACACCAGUGGCGAAGGCGGGUCUCUGGGCCGAUAUCGACGCUGAGGAGCGAAAGCGUGGGGAGCGAACGAGG
rnacentral:rRNA from 1 species